UGAGGAAUAUUGGUCAAUGGACGCAAGUCUGAACCAGCCAAGUAGCGUGCAGGAUGACGGCCCUAUGGGUUGUAAACUGCUUUUAUAUGGGGAUAAAGUGGGGAACGUGUUCCCUUUUGCAGGUACCAUAUGAAUAAGGACCGGCUAAUUCCGUGCCAGCAGCCGCGGUAAUACGGAAGGUUCGGGCGUUAUCCGGAUUUAUUGGGUUUAAAGGGUGCGUAGGUUGCAAGGGAAGUCAGGGGUGAAAAGCUAUAGCUCAACUAUGGUCUUGCCUUUGAAACUCUCUAGCUAGAGUGUACUGGAGGUACGUGGAACGUGUGGUGUAGCGGUGAAAUGCAUAGAUAUCACACAGAACUCCGAUUGCGCAGGCAGCGUACUACAUUACAACUGACACUGAAGCACGAAAGCGUGGGUAUCAAACAGG
rnacentral:rRNA from 1 species